rnacentral:rRNA from 1 species
UACGUAGGUGGCAAGCGUUAUCCGGAUUUAUUGGGCGUAAAGGGAACGCAGGCGGUCUUUUAAGUCUGAUGUGAAAGCCUUCGGCUUAACCGGAGUAGUGCAUUGGAAACUGGUUGACUUGAGUGCAGAAGAGGGAAGUGGAAUUCCAUGUGUAGCGGUGAAAUGCGUAGAGAUAUGGAGGAACACCAGUGGCGAAGGCGGCUUCCUGGGACGCAACUGACGCUCAUACACGAAAGCGUGGGGAGCAAACAGG